rnacentral:rRNA from 1 species
GAUGAACGCUGGCGGCGUGCUUAACGCAUGCAAGUCGAACGAUGAAGCCCAGCUUGCCGGGUGGAUUAGUGGCGAACGGGUGAGUAACACGUGAGUAACCUGCCCUUAACUCUGGGAUAAGCCUGGGAAACUGGGUCUAAUACCGGAUAGGAGCGUCCACCGCAUGGUGGGUGUUGGAAAGAUUUAUCGGUUUUGGAUGGACUCGCGGCCUAUCAGCUUGUUGGUGAGGUAAUGGCUCACCAAGGCGACGACGGGUAGCCGGCCUGAGAGGGUGACCGGCCACACUGGGACUGAGACACGGCCCAGACUCCUACGGGAGGCAGCAGUGGGGAAUAUUGCACAAUGGGCGCAAGCCUGAUGCAGCGACGCCGCGUGAGGGAUGACGGCCUUCGGGUUGUAAACCUCUUUCAGUAGGGAAGAAGCGAAAGUGACGGUACCUGCAGAAGAAGCACCGGCUAACUACGUG